CCUACGGGAGGCAGCAGUGGGGAAUAUUGCACAAUGGGGGAAACCCUGAUGCAGCGACGCCGCGUGAGUGAAGAAGUAUUUCGGUACGUAAAGCUCUAUCAGCAGGGAAGAAAAUGACGGUACCUGACUAAGAAGCCCCGGCUAACUACGUGCCAGCAGCCGCGGUAAUACGUAGGGGGCAAGCGUUAUCAGGAUUUACUGGGUGUAAAGGGAGCGUAGACGGCAGCGCAAGUCUGGAGUGAAAUCCCAUGGCUUAACCAUGGAACUGCUUUGGAAACUGUGCAGCUAGAGUGCAGGAGAGGUAAGUGGAAUUCCUAGUGUAGCGGUGAAAUGCGUAGAUAUUAGGAGGAACACCAGUGGCGAAGGCAGCUUACUGGACUGUAACUGACGUUGAGGCUCGAAAGCGUGGGGAGCAAACAGGAUUAGAUACCCCAGUAGUC
rnacentral:rRNA from 1 species